UACGUAGGUGGCAAGCGUUGUCCGGAUUUACUGGGCGUAAAGAGCGUGUAGGCGGCCCGAUAAGUCCGCUGUGAAAGUCCAGGGCUCAACCCUGGGAUGCCGGUGGAUACUGUCGGGCUCGAGUCCGGAAGAGGAGUGUGGAAUUCCUGGUGUAGCGGUGAAAUGCGCAGAUAUCAGGAGGAACACCGGUGGCGAAGGCGGAUCUCUGGGCAACAACUGACGCUGAGGAGCGAAAGCGUGGGGAGCGAACAGG
rnacentral:rRNA from 1 species